AUAUUGGUGCUUGUCAAGGAGUAACUUUGGUUUGAGAAGUGGGGGGACACAAAAUGGGGGGAAAUGUUUUCGAUUUGAAUCC